rnacentral:rRNA from 1 species
GUGGGGAAUCUUGCGCAAUGGGCGAAAGCCUGAUCCAGCAAUGCCGCGUGCAGGAAGAAGGCCUUCGGGUUGUAAACUGCUUUUGUACGGAACGAAACGGUCCGGGUUAAUACCCUGGGCUAAUGACGGUACCGUAAGAAUAAGCACCGGCUAACUACGUGCCAGCAGCCGCGGUAAUACGUAGGGUGCAAGCGUUAAUCGGAAUUACUGGGCGUAAAGCGUGCGCAGGCGGUUUUGUAAGACAGGCGUGAAAUCCCCGGGCUCAACCUGGGAAUUGCGCUUGUGACUGCAAGGCUGGAGUGCGGCAGAGGGGGAUGGAAUUCCGCGUGUAGCAGUGAAAUGCGUAGAUAUGCGGAGGAACACCGAUGGCGAAGGCAAUCCCCUGGGCCUACACUGACGCUCAUGCACGAAAGCGUGGGGAGCAAACAGGAUUAGAAACCCGAGUAGUCC